AUUGAACGCUGGCGGCAUGCCUUACACAUGCAAGUCGAACGGUAACAGGUCUUCGGGUGCUGACGAGUGGCGAACGGGUGAGUAAUACAUCGGAACGUGCCUAGUAGUGGGGGAUAACUGCUCGAAAGAGUGGCUAAUACCGCAUGAGAUCUACGGAUGAAAGCAGGGGAUCGCAAGACCUUGUGCUACUAGAGCGGCCGAUGGCGGAUUAGGUAGUUGGUGGGAUAAAAGCUUACCAAGCCGACGAUCUGUAGCUGGUCUGGGAGGACGAUCAGCCACACUGGGACUGGGACGCGGCCCAGACUCCUACGGGAGGCAGCAGUGGGGAAUUUUGGACAAUGGGCGAAAGCCUGAUCCAGCAAUGCCGCGUGCAGGAUGAAGGCCUUCGGGUUGUAAACUGCUUUUGUACGGAACGAAAAGCCCCGGGUUAAUACCCUGGGGUCAUGACGGUACCGUAAGAAUAAGCACCGGCUAACUACGUGCCAGCCGCCGCGGUAA
rnacentral:rRNA from 1 species